rfam:Oenococcus oeni PST-1, complete genome.
AUCCGUAAUAGAGGUGCAAAUGACAUCAUUAGUUUAUUAGAUAGUCCCUGCUAGGAUCUAAUAAAUGAAAGGGGAUUUUGCCGAAAUCGAUUGUAUGAGCAGAUACUUAUCGAUUGAGUCGUGGUUUAAUAAAUCACGGAUUGUCACAGAGAUGUGGAGUGCUAGGACGGAC